CUUUGUCCAUCCUCCCGCUCCCCCCCACCAACCACGUCUACCUCCGUAUGCCUCUUUUUCCUCUCCAUCACUCUCUCGCAGAUGCCAUAUCACACCACACUCUCCUCCUCCCUUCUCUUCUCCGUCUGCUUCCUGCUCUCUCAUUCGCUCCGCCGCUUCAUUUGUUUCGGCCGAGCCACUAAAGCGGCUGCUGAACAGAGAGGAGGGUUUUUUUUUCCCCCCUCUUCUCUCUCACUCUCUCUGUCGAGCAUCUCUGCCGCCGCAGCAUCAGCACCACCACCGUCUCCUGCCGGGAUCUUGCCUCCUCCUUCUCCUCAGGGAGCUCUUCCUGGAACCGGGAGGGGGAGGAAGACCACCGCUACCUCUUGCGUGGACCCUUGGGAAGACAUCAGGAAGGAAAAAGAAUGGUGGAAGGGGAGGGAAUUUUAGAGGCAUCAGAAAGGAAAAGGAGAGGCAACACCCUGGGCUACAGCAGAGAGGAGGAGGAGAGAGGAGGCCCCUCCCCCCUCCCACAUCCAUGCAGAGAAGGAGCGGCGACGGGAGCGGGGACGGUCCCCGGCAGCAGGGAGGGGAAGCCGAGCAGGACGCUGGUCCAGACGAGCCAUUGAUGGAGCUUUGCCUCGCGCUGCAGCGAGCGGUCUUCAAUCAAUGCGACCCCCCCACUCUCUCUGUGUGUGUCUGUGUUUGUUUGCCACUGGAGCCUGAAGAGGGGCUGCUUCUGAUGGCCUUGCUGAAGCUGGUGAUGAUGCGUUGGCAGUGGCUCCUCCCCCGUGGUUUCUGGCUUAGACCCCCUCCUCCUCCUCCUCCCCUCCCAUGUUCACUGACUCUCUUCGGUGACGGGUAUUCUUGGGUGGAUAAUACGGAUCACGUUGUUAUUGCUUAAGAAUACGCGUAGUCGAGGAGAGUCCUUUCUUCGCCCCCCUCCUCUAACACCGGCUCCCCUGGCCCCCAAACACCCACCCACUCACCUCAACACACUCUGUCUCUUCCCCCCUGCCUAAAAAGGACUUUCAGAUUGGGUGAAUCCCACACUGGCUGGCAAUGUCUCUCUCUCUGCAUCCGUGUUUCUGUCUCCGUGGCGAUGGACAGAGUGUGUGUGCGUCUCUGUCUCACAUUGCUUCUGUGUGUAUCCGGCUCUUCUGUCGUCUUGUCGUGUUGGAGUUUGUGCAUGAACAGUCCGGUCCCAUGAUGCAAAGCGAGGUUGACAAAACCAAAGAAGUGGAUUUGCCGUUGGUUUGCCCGGGUGUGAUUGGAUGCUGCUUGAGUUGCUGUUGUCUCACUUUGUCGCUUGACUCCAUCCUUGUCAACCGAUAAGGAGCGUGUUUACUCGGGGCGUGACCUCUGACCUGUCGCUUGCUGUGUUCAGGACGGGAGAGCUCCCAGUAGCCCUGUAAACAUACCACUCAUGGCAAGAUUACAAAAGUAAUGGCGCUGCAAGAGCUGCCCUUUGACCCCUGCUGGAUGACUGACAUAUAAAGUCACGUGACAUGAUGUGACAUGAUGUAUCAUGUUUCACUUGAUUCCAAUUGACCAGAUGAACUUAUUCUUAAUACAUAAUCAUGUAAUGCUUUUGUAUUUUAAAAAAAAUAGCCAUUAAAUGACUUUAUUUAAAAAUGUAAUUUGGAUGUAACACUGUACUAGAUAUUGUCAAAGAAUACAACGUGGUUUUGUAUUUCUAAGUGUGUACAAAGAAAUAGCAAAUAAAAACUGGCUAUUGUUACUAUAUUUAAUACUUUCAAUCGUAUGUGUAUUUUAUCCAUAAAAAAACUCAAUUCUUUUCAAAGAUUUUAAAACACCAAUAUUGUCUUGAGUCACAAUAUUUGAGGAAAUAUGACUACCAUGUAAAUAAUAAUAAUAAUAAUAAUAAUAACAACAACAAUAAUAAUAAUAAUAAUAAUAAUAAUAAUAAUAAUAAUAAUAAUAAUAAUAAUAAGAAUAAGAAUAAUAAUAAUACACGGUAGUAUUGUAUCCAAUGUUUGCUAACCAUAUAUGUUUGCUAACCAUAUUAAGGAAAAUAAUAACACUUCUAUGUUUAUGGUUUUGUUAUUGUUAUUUGAAGUGAAAUAAACCUGGAAAAAAACACGUUUCUCUUUAACGUCUUGAGUGAUAUUUCUUGUCUAAUUUAGGGAAUUUAUUUUCUAUUCAUUAUAAUUGUUAAUCAUAAUUUAUAAUUUUUCAUCAUUUACUGUUUCAUUGUUUCUAUUGGCUGAGUAGUUCCCUCCCUGUGCACUGAAGCCUAAGAGUAUAAAGACGUUUGUUUUCAGCAUCUGAAACAGAGAAGAUUGUGUGACUGGUGAAAUAAAAAGGUGUAAAAUUCAUGCAAUGAAAAAUUAAUUAAAAGAGAAAAGAGAAAAGAAUUAGCAUGCAACAAACUUCCAAGAAAAUUGCUCCAUAAAAUACAUUUUUAUAAUUAAAAUUGAGUAAAAUAACAACAUGGAAAAAUAACAAUAAUAACAUAUUGGAAUAAAAAGGUAUUUUCAACAAUCAACUUGUGAAAAUCGAGAGAUUUCUUCUGUUUUGGGCCUGAUCUCCGUCGAAGGCCUUGCCUCCUUGACGAUCGUUGAAAAUAUAGUUUUAUCCCCAACACCAUCAAUAAAUGAAUCCUCAUAUCUGCAUAAGCAACCACCUUCACAAGGACUCGUCACAUUGUGUGAAGUCUCCCGGCCUCCUCUCACCCUCUCCGUGGCCCCUUUUAUAUGCUAAUGCCGCUCCAAUGACAGUUAUCAUAGAGGAGCUUACGCACGCGUGCGGCUGAGAAAACAAAAUGUCCACCAUGAAUGGUCGACAGCUCAAUUUAUGCAUUGAGCAGAGGCGUCUAGAUAAACAAUUACCUCGGCUCAUACGCUUCAUAAGCAGCUUUUUCGGUGGCGCAUCCCAGCGACGCACCAUGAAUAUAGAUGCCCCGUCCAUGUCUGACAGCACAUUCGGAACUUAACAGCCAUGUAAAAUCCAUUUUAACAGCUAAUAGGAUCAACUUGACUCAUACAGUGAUAUCCUCCAGCACGUCAGCCCGCACCCCCCGCUCCACAAUCAGACGCUUCCUCGCCCCUCCACGCUCGGGUAAAUGCACCUCGCGAGAUGGAAGAGGAAAUGAUAGACCCACUCUCCCAAAUGGUUUUAUUGUCCUGCAAUAUUCCGCUUCAGGAUUACUCACGUCUGUCUGCUCUCAGACACGAUCGGCGCUCUGAUCGGGUAUUUAUAUUCAAGGAACGCCAUCAUUUCAGGUUCGGGCCCAAACGUACAAAGCCAACCAAACAUUUCAGAGGACGUGUUGCGCUGCUUUAGAGGUAGAACUUCCCAACAGAGUCUAGGCAAACCCAGACUGAGGCCUCCGGAAGUUCCUCCAUUAUUCAAAGCUGGAUGAUGAAAAGUGCUCGAGUGACUUUGUUUGAGCUUCUCUAACAUCUAAAUAAGGGAUCAAAACCUGUUUUUAUUCAGACUUUGUUAAAUUUAACAUUUUAUUUUUGUUGACUCAUGCUUCAAAAUAAGCCUUUUAUAAAUGACUUUGUUACCUAUUUCCAAAGCAGAAUACAAGCUAGUAACACUACAUAAACUAUUGUUGUCGUUGUAAUGAUAUACUAUAAUAGUAACACCCAAUAAAAGAGAAUAGAAAACGAUUUUUAGAAUUACAAAAUCGCUGCUAUUCAGUGGUGAAACUUUAUUGCAUUAAUAUACUACGGCACAAAAUGGCAACAAUGAUUGGAGUAAAGAACCUACUGAGCUAAUUUGAAUGUAGCUCACUAACGAUGAAUCAGCAGUGUCUCAUCUUAAAAUUCAGGGACUGUUUUUAAGAUUUUAAUACAUGUAGAAUUUUAAGCACAUCAUUGAGCGUCCUUCACUGAAUUUAUUGAUAGUUUUCUUGUUUUGUUUUGCUCUUUAUUGAUGCUUAAAAGCAGCUCCACUGGCUAAGCUAUGUAGCUAGCAUGUUAGUUGAAGUCCACAGAUCUCACUUUGUUAGCAUUUGUUAGCUAAUGUUUUUAGCGCUGAGAAAAAAAAUAACAAAGCAGUGAGGUGAGCUAAGCUAACCCACAGGUAGCUUUAAGGUUGGCAGUGAAUUCUGAGACUGACAAGCUACUGUAGGUCUAAAAAAUGGCUGCAGUUGGUGAAGACAUCACAGACACACUGGUUACGUGUUUCAUUUCGCGCAGAUUAUUCCAUGCUGAGAAUGGGCCACUCGCUGUCUCAUGUCGUCUACUGCAAUCUGCAGCAGCAUUUGCGUCCUCCAUCUUUGUUGUGUCGCAGGGUCCACCAGCAGCGCUCGUAGCUUUGCAUCACGAGUUUGUGUGUUUCCUGUGGCAGCCUGCGCCUCAUGAGUGUAGCUGCUGUUGAUCCUGAAUUCGUGCCUGUGAAUGGAAACUUGUUAAUGUUGUACGAAGCCAUCAGCGAUGAUUGCGCCAUGUGUCUGCUCGAGUGUCGUGGAGAGCCGGGCCGCUGCGCGCCAUCCUCCCCGUUGAUCCGGCCAAUAAGGAGUGUUGCUGGCUAAGUGUUGUCAUAGCUGCUAACGGCGCCGGGCUGCCUGCUAAUGCGCCUGUCAUUGUUCCAGCCGCGCUUCCGAGGACUGCUGGGAACCUGGGACUGAUGUUUACUGCUCCGCUCUAAUGUGAUGCCGCGCGCCAUGAUCACGAGCCGGGUUUUUUAAAGCUAACCUGGGAUGAAUCACUUUCAUAACAGCAGCGCGUGUCGCUUCCCGCGUAAAUGUGCAUAAUGACUGUCAUUUUGUCGUGGCUGUGAUUUCGAAUAAAGUCCUCUCUUGAAACUUACAUGUGAGAUGAACAUUUUAUUAAUGUCAUGUCUGUCUCGGGCCUCAGUCUGAAGCCUUGCAGGAGCUGCAUUUCAACUGUUUAGCUUUAGCUAUUUUCACCGUAUAGAGGGGAUUUUUAAAUAUGCUUUUCAUCACUGGUGGAUUUAUUAUUAUUAUUAUUAUUAUUAUUAUUAUUAUUAUUGUCAAUGCGUAUGAUUUAUGAUUUAAAUUGGUCAUUGAUUUUAAAUGUACUUUUUAAAUUUAAGUUAUGAGACAUGCUUUAUUCUCUCCAUUUUAUUGAAUCUUUCUUUUCCUUUAUUUGUUUUUUGCCAAUUACAUUUCCUUUCACUCCAUCCUUUUCAAGACUGUCAACAUUCUUUGGCUGUUAAAACGUCCAAAGUGGUCAGUUCUUAAUCGUCAUACUGACUGAAUGAAGGCUUAUUUUAGUCUCAGCUGUUCAUGGUGCUUCCUUUUCUGACUUUUUAAAGGUAUAUUGUCGACAUUGUAUCAAGUUAUUCCUGUAACUUUCCGCACCUGGUGAGACGUUCAGGGCCUGUUAUGUUGCCUGUUCUGAGCUUCUAUGACGGUUGUUCCACUGCUGCCUCCAUGUAAAUGUCAAUAUCCCACAUGGGGCAGCAGUCAACAAUAACACGACACUUCACCAAAAUAUCAGCUUCAUAGAGGUGGUGACCAAAGGUUCAUCUGUGUCUCAUGUCAGAGGAGGAUCUGAGGAGGGGCGGAGUCAGUGGGGCAGAUGAUUCCAACUCCUCCAGUUCAGGUCUGUCCUGCGUCAUUAGAAAAGGUCCGCUGUAAUGAUGCCAUUUUCCGUCAUUAACCUGGACUCAGGGAGUCAGAAUGCUGUGGCCUGGCCAUUUGGAGAGCUGUUGUAAACAAUGCUGGAUGAAUGGCCGACCAUUCUGCUGCUAAUAAUUGCUGCCUUGACGUAUGGAAACGUGACCAUGGUCUGAUCAGGGAACGUCCCUUCCGAAAAUGCAACACGAGUUUGAUAUACGGCUAGUACAAAAGACAAACUAGAGUAGCGCCUGACUCAUUGUUGGAAACCUCUUUUGACAAAACAAAACCAAAAAAAAGUAAAUGACAUAAACUUCAGAAAAGCAACAUUUUGGUGGAGUAAAGAGUCAAUUCUCCCGCUGUGUUGCUGCUGCUGAACUCAGUUAUGCUACACUGGAUGACUUCCUCGAUGAGCAGCGUCAAACUCCAAAAACAUGACUCUAGAAAUCUUUCUUCAUUUAAGUCAUUACAAUUUAAUAAGUAAGACCAUUUGACAUGUUUUCUUCAGUUGCUCUUUGCUGAUUUAAAGUUUGUUAUGGAGUCAUUUAUUUAAAGAUGCAUUCUAGUCAGAAACAACAGUGUUGCAGCGCUGAAUUAUUAUUAUUAUAUUUUAUUGAUGAUUAUUACAACAAAAAAAUAUUAUUAUUAUUACUAUUAUUAUUAGGGCUCUUUUUAAAAUUCUAUGCAAAUUAAUGGAUUUUUUUAGAUUAAUAUUCAUUCAUUAAUUCAACUCAAAUAUAUGUAUUUUUUUUUAAUUGUAAUACAACAAUAAUACUAAUUCUACUACUACGACAAUAACAACUACUACUACUACUACUACUAAUAAUAAUAAUAAUAAUUUCAUGAAUUGUCAAAAUU